rnacentral:rRNA from 1 species
CCUACGGGAGGCAGCAGUGGGGAAUUUUGGACAAUGGGCGAAAGCCUGAUCCAGCAAUGCCGCGUGAGUGAAGAAGGCCUUCGGGUUGUAAAGCUCUUUUGUCAGGGAAGAAACGGUGAAAGCUAAUAUCUUUUGCUAAUGACGGUACCUGAAGAAUAAGCACCGGCUAACUACGUGCCAGCAGCCGCGGUAAUACGUAGGGUGCAAGCGUUAAUCGGAAUUACUGGGCGUAAAGCGUGCGCAGGCGGUUUUGUAAGUCUGAUGUGAAAUCCCCGGGCUCAACCUGGGAAUUGCAUUGGAGACUGCAAGGCUAGAAUCUGGCAGAGGGGGGUAGAAUUCCACGUGUAGCAGUGAAAUGCGUAGAUAUGUGGAGGAACACCGAUGGCGAAGGCAGCCCCCUGGGUCAAGAUUGACGCUCAUGCACGAAAGCGUGGGGAGCAAACAGGAUUAGAUACCCUGGUAGUCCACGCCCUAAACGAUGUCUACUAGUUGUCGGGUCUUAAUUGACUUGGUAACGCAGCUAACGCGUGAAGUAGACCGCCUGGGGAGUCGGUCGCAAGNUUAAAACUCAAAUGAAAUUGACGGCUGAGACGNGCGAGGCGACACGAGGGAGGAGG